rnacentral:rRNA from 1 species
CGGCACGGGUGAGUAACGCGUGUGCAACCUGCCCGGCACAGUGGGAUAAUCCGGAGAAAUCCGGUCUAAUACCGCAUGACGCGGGAAAGGCGCAUGCCUUUUCCGCCAAAGGAGGCGACUCCGGUGCCGGCUGGGCACGCGUGACAUUAGCUAGUUGGCAGGGCGACGGCCCACCAAGGCGACGAUGUCUAGGGGUUCUGAGAGGAAGGUCCCCCACACUGGUACUGAGACACGGACCAGACUCCUACGGGAGGCAGCAG